rnacentral:lncRNA from 1 species
UUUGAGUUUCUACCUUUGAAGCGCUCAGGUUUCAUGCGUCGGAUGUCAGAGGAACUAGCGACCCGGGUGCUGGGCUUCCCCGUGACCCCUGAGUCUUUACAGCCCUCCCACCGCCGACUUCCGGAGUCCAGCGCUGCGAUGUCUAGGUGCCGGGCUGGGACCGGACCACUUCCGACUUCCCUCGGCCACUUCCGGUCCAAACAACCGCCUGCAAGUAUUCUGCUCCGAGGGAGUCCUGGCAUCUGCUCCGAACUCGUGAGACCCGUGUCUCCCGCUCGCAGUUUUGCAUCUUCCCAGCUCCCAAGCAGUGGCCCAGGGUAUUGCCGCGGGAGAGGCAGGCGUGGGUGCGGCCGGGAAGGAUAUGUAGGCAUCUUCAGGGAAGCUGCUGAGGCGCGCGGUGCUCUUGAUGGACGUGGCUCUUGAUGCUGUGAUAGGUUAGGGCGGCAAGAAACGUGAACAAGAGGGGCUUUGCUGCCUUAUCUCCUCCAGAUUUGUUUGGUACCGGAGAUUGAACUCAACUCGACCACUGAGCCACAUCCCAGCCCUAUUUUGUAUUUUAUUUAUAGAGUUGCUUAGCACCUCGCCAUUGCAGAGGCUGGCUUUGAACUCACGAUCCUCUUGUCUCGGGCUCCGGGGCCACUGGGAUUACAGGUGUGCAUCACCACGCCCGGUUUAUCUCCAUUAUUUUCAAAUAUGAAAUGAACGGUUGCAUUCCAAGUCUUUUGCUAAAAGUUGAGGACGAAAAAGCCAGGCAAGACCUUUGCCUUUGUCAGCGGAGGAAAUUGACAAAUAGAAAUGACACAUUAAUUACUAGUAGUGGCGAAUGCCAGAAAGAAAGGGACUAGGCGAAGCAGUAGAAGAUGGUAGGAACUAACCCUUUUAGGGAAGGAGACAUUUAAACUGAGUCUUGAAGGCUGAGAAAAGGCUGUUUUGUAAGAUUUUGGAGGAAGAACGUUUCAAGCAAAUGGAAUGGGUGUUCCAGGAGCUGAAAUGACAUUCCUGUCUCCUGAGACCACUUUGUACUAAUUAUCAGACAGGUCCAAACAGAAGAGAGAAAACAGUGAUUUGAACAGGUGUGCAUCACCACACAAUUUGAACAGGAAAAUUUUUAUGUAUGGAAUUAUUAGCUGUGAAAGAUUGCAUUCAGAAAAGGGUUGACUAGUGAGAAGACCUCUAUUUAAGUCAUAGGGUCACAGCAGAUAGCAGCAACAGCCACAACCUGGGUUGAGUUGGAGCACUCAUAGAAGACGGUUUCCCUGUCCCUGUACUGAGACCCAAACAGUGGAGUAGGCAUGUCUGAGGCUCACUGAGUUUCAGGGAAAUGGCUGUUGUAUCCACAGGUGAAACUUGCUAGAAAUCCAUCUUGAAGGAUGAUCGCAGAGCAAUGUCUCAUCAGACACCUUUGUCUCUGCUACAAAUCUAACCAGAACUGUGGGAAAAGCGUCUAGCUCCUAGGUGCUGCUUGCUGGAAUGUGUACUGGAAGUACAUGUUUUCAUACUGUGGGAGUUCCGGCUACAGACACCUCCCAGGCCGCAGGAGCUUGGGCUGGGGAGCCCCUGGGUAUUGCAGAAGUCUUCCUAGUGAACACCAGAAUCUGGAAGAGAAACCCCAUCCUCUUACAGUGUUUCUCUAGUGCCCUUUACUGACAAAGCCUAACAUCAUGUCAGUUGGCAAAGGAAAAUGAGGCGGAGUUCACUUUAUUUAGCAGGCAACUGAAGGAAAAAUUUGGAGCUGGGACAUAUCAGUAACUGGAACAGGUUUAUAUUAUCAUUCAUCUAUAGCAUCCUGAUAAGCCUUCUAUAUAACAUCCCUUUACCAGCCACUGGCACUAAGCUCCAUUAUGUCUUGGGUUAUAUGGCUGACAGAGCAGAUCAACCAAUCCAAAACUGGAACAUUUUUUUUUAAUAUUUAUUUUUUAGUUAUCGGUGGACACAACAUAUUUGUUUGUAUGUGGUGCUGAGGAUCGAACCCGGGCCGCACGCAUGCCAGGUGGGCGCACUACCGCUUGAGCCACAUCCCCCCCCUGGAACAUAUUUACAUUAUUUAGAAAUGGGUCACUCAAUAGUGCCCCAUGCCAGAGCAAACUGUGGUCUUGAAUCAUUGCCUGCCCUCUGCCUGUAUUCUACAGGCACUGAAAUGGGUUGCAUAGUGGAAAAACAGUGUGUCACUCAAGCAGUCCUGUAGGGAAGCCCCCAUGGGAAACUUUGGUCUCCUGCCAAUAGCUAUGUGUGUGAUCCAAGGAUGACUGGGGCUCCCACUGACAUUGUGAUGGCAACAUCUGAAAAGAUCCUGAGCCAGAACUUAAAACUGAGUGAGAUAAUGUUUUUUUUUUUUUUGUCCCAAGGAUUGAACUCAGGGGUACUUAACCAUUGAGCCACAUUUUCAGCCUCUUUUUAUUUUAUUUGUGGGGGGCUUUUCACAGUUUAAUUAUGACAAAUAUUCUGCAUCUACAAUUAUCUCCAGUCAAUUUUAAUUUUUUUUUUGUGGUUGUAGAUGGACAGAAUGUGUUUAUUUGCUUAUUUUUAUGCAGUGCUAGGAAGGAACCCAGUGCCUCACACAUGCUAGGCAACUGCUCUGCCACUAGCCAUAGUCCCAGCCCCACCUCUCUAUCCUUUUUUUUAUUUUGAGACAGACUCACUAAGUUGCUUAGGGCCUCACUAAGUUGCUGAGACUGGCUUUGAACUUGCAAUCCUCAUGCCUCAGUUUCUCAGGCCAUUGGGAUUAUAAGCAUGCACCAUCACAUCUGCAGAUAACAAUUUUUUAUUUUAAACCACCAAGUUUCAGAGAAAUUUGUUACACAGCAAUAGAUAACUAAUACAUUGAACAUUUAUAUUAUUUUGUGUUUCUAUCACAUUUGAAUCAUAACACAAGGUCUUCAUUAGAAAGUAUGUCCUCUAGCUGGGCACAGUGGUGCACACCUGUAAUCUCAGCAGCUGGGGA